rnacentral:rRNA from 1 species
AGAACGAACGCUGGCAGCGUGGAUUAGGCAUGCAAGUCGAACGAAAUCCGGGAUUGUUCAAGUAGCAAUACGAGGACGUUCCGGUGACAGUGGCGAAAGGGUGCGUAACGCGUGGGCAAUCUACCUCAAGUUGGGGAUAACCCGCCGAAAGGCGGACUAAUACCGAAUGUGGUUGUUCCCUGCAUGGGGAGCGGACUAAAAGUGGGGACCCGCAAGGGCCUGUUGCUUGGAGAGGAGCCCGCGUCCUAUCAGCUAGUUGGUGAGGUGACGGCUUACCAAGGCUAUGACGGGUAGCUGGUCUGAGAGGAUGGUCAGCCACACUGGGACUGAGACACUGCCCAGACUCCUACGGGAGGCUGCAGUCGAGGAUCAUUGGCAAUGCGCGAAAGCGUGACCAUGCGACGCUGCGUGGAGGAUGAAGGCCUUCGGGUCGUAAACUCCUGUCAUCCGGGAACAAUGGUCCCGUCGUGAAUAUCGGCGGGCAGGGCUAGUACCGGAGGAGGAAGCCACGGCUAACUCUGUGCCAGCAGCCGCGGUAAUACAGAGGUGGCGAGCGUUGUUCGGAUUUACUGGGCUUAAAGGGCGCGUAGGCGGUCUCGUAUGUCGGGUGUGAAAUCCCGCCGCUCAACGGCGGAACGCCAUUCGAAACUACGAGACUUGAGUGCAGGAGAGGAGAGCGGAAUUCUCGGUGUAGCGGUGAAAUGCGUUGAUAUCGAGAGGAACACCGGUGGCGAAGGCGGCUCUCUGGAAUGCAACUGACGCUGAGGCACGAGAGUUGGGGGAGCAAACAGGAUUAGAUACCCUGGUAGUCCCAACCGUAAACUGUGUACACUUGAUGUGGGGAGAUUUGACCCUCCCCGUGUCGGAGCGAAAGCGUUAAGUGUACCGCCUGGGGAGUACGGUCGCAAGAUUAAAACUCAAAGAAAUUGACGGGGGCCCGCACAAGCGGAGGAGCAUGUGGCUUAAUUCGAUGCAACGCGAAGAACCUUACCAGGGCUUGACAUGCAACUGCACGCCCCGUGAAAGCGGGGCUCCUUCGAGGGUGUUGCACAGGUGCUGCAUGGCUGUCGUCAGUUCGUGCCGUGAGGUGUUGGGUUAAGUCCCGCAACGAACGCAACCCCUGUGUCUAGUUGCUACCGGAGGUGAUGAGCCUUCGAGCACUCUAGACAGACUGCCCGUGAUAAGCGGGAGGAAGGUGGGGAUGACGUCAAGUCAGUAUGGCCUUUAUGCCCUGGGCUGCACACGUGCUACAAUGGCCGGUACAGAGAGAAGCGAGACCGCGAGGUGGAGCAAAUCUCCAAAAACCGGUCCCAGUUCAGAUUGAAGGCUGCAACUUGCCUUCAUGAAGUCGGAUUCGCUAGUAAUGGCGCAUCAGCUACGGCGCCGUGAAUACGUUCCCGGGCCUUGUACACACCGCCCGUCACAUCAUGAAAGCCGUCUGCACCCAAAGUCGCUGAUCCAUCCCGCAAGGGAGGUAGGUGCCUAAGGAGUGGGCGGUGAUUGGGAUGAAGUCGUAACAAGGUA